CCUACGGGGGGCUGCAGUGAGGAAUAUUGGUCAAUGGGCGUAAGCCUGAACCAGCCAAGCCGCGUGAGGGAUGACGGUUCUAUGGAUCGUAAACCUCUUUUAUAAGGGAAUAAAGUGUGGGACGUGUCCUGUUUUGUAUGUACCUUAUGAAUAAGGAUCGGCUAACUCCGUGCCAGCAGCCGCGGUAAUACGGAGGAUCCGAGCGUUAUCCGGAUUUAUUGGGUUUAAAGGGUGCGUAGGCGGCCUUUUAAGUUAGCGGUGAAAGUCUGUGGCUCAACCUGAGAAUUGCCUGUGAUACUGGGAGGCUAGAGAAUAUUUGCGGUAGGCGGAAUGUAUGGUGUAGCGGUGAAAUGCUUAGAUAUCACGCAGAACACCGAUUGCGAAGGCAGCCUGCCAAGCCAUGACUGACGCUGAUGCACGAAAGCGUGGGGAUCAAACAGGAUUAGAUACCCUGGUAGUC
rnacentral:rRNA from 1 species